CGGGGCAUAGCGCAGUCUGGUAGCGCACUGCUUUGGGAGCAGGGGGUCGCAAGUUCGAAUCUUGCUGCCCCGACCA
rnacentral:tRNA from 1 species